rnacentral:sRNA from 1 species
ACACACCUAAUUACUAAUAAGUGCACCUAAACACGUCUAAACUGUAUUCCUGUAGCCUUAUGGGAGGUCUAGUUUAAAACAUUGUAGCUCAUAUAGAGGUGCACCUAAACACGUCUAAACUGUAUUUCUACAAAGUUGCAAGCACGACUCUGCCUGACUUGUGCUCAUUUCUUUCAUCGAUUCGAACUAAAAGUGCCUCUGAAACCAAGUCUAGGACCUGCCUUGGAGAAGUGUUAAAGUAUAAGAAACGCUAUUCUAACAAAAGACAAUUCUUCACAUUACUGGCAAAUACGUUGUCAAGAUUCUCAAAAAAGAAAACAGAGUAGCCAGGGAUUCACAAUGAAGUGGUUAACAAUGAAUGGGUCCACAAUGAAGGGGUAUGCAGCGACAAACAGGGAUCUGAACGGACAAAUGUACACCCAGAGACCUCAAGGCUCUGUCCUCUCUGCCCAUGACAUUAGUUACAGUGUCAAGGUGACCUCAACCUACUGCAGAACCACAGACAAACAGAUACUGUUCAAUAUCACUGGUAUAUUCAAACAAGGUUUAACAGCGAUCCUCGGGCCAACCGGUUCUGGAAAAUCUACGUAAGAGUACCAU